AUCUGCAGAAAUACAUUGCUCAAUCAGAAACAACCAAUCAGAGCUGGUAGGAGGGUCCUAGCGUGGUCAAUCACUCUGGUGUAUGUGCUGUUCACAGCUCUCUGCUCUGCUAUAGUUAGUUACCUGCAAUCUUGCUGUCGGGUUCCAGGGUUUUUUGCUUUUCUUUGUGGGUUUUAUUUUUUGUUUGGGUUCUUUUGUUGCGCCACUGCUUCUCCACCAGAUGGUGCCAGAGACUGCCUACCUGGAGAGGUGUUCCAACGAUUCCACACACCUGUCUUCAAUCAUCUCAUUAUCUCCAGGAGCAUCAGAGAAGCUGACUGCCAGCACUUCGAGGCCUGAGUGUUAGCCUCCUACGGUGUUUUUCCCUAUGAAGCUGUGGAUCCUCCUCGUGAUGAUCUAGUCCUGACUUUGGAUUUCGCUUCCUUCGUGACGCCGUGGAUCUUACCCACUGGUUACCCGAGUUCCACCAUCCUCCUCUCCUGUUGAUCAUCAGAGUCUCCUGUAUUCUCCGGCUGGCAGUCGCACCGCUCCUCUGACUCCUCUCUCGCCAGGAACUUACCUGUCCGCCCUCCACCGCAGCCAGCCCAUCUCCCACCGGACUCCGCUCAGCUGAGCCACCCUCUGGAACCUGGACCACUCUAGGAUUUUCUAUAGGGUCGCUGCCCUGAACCCACAGUCGAAACCCCCCCGGAUCGAAAUCAUCGUCUCCACAAUGUGCCGACAUCUUCAAGAAUCCACCCGCGGGACCACACACACACACUCAUUCUGAUUUAUCUUUACAUUUCAAUAAACAGUCUUUAACUGAUUUCCUGUUCUCCUGUGGUGUUCUGCAUGUGGGCAAAGAAAGUAGACCCAAACAUACUUGCCUGC